GCUACUGUGGUGGAAUUGGCAGACACAGAGGACUUAAAAUCCUCAGUCAGAAUAAGACGUAUGGGUUCAAGUCCCGUUGGUAGCA
rnacentral:tRNA from 1 species